rnacentral:lncRNA from 1 species
UUUCGAAUUCCUUGAUAAAUGUCGACGUCUAUCCCCCUUCUGGGAAUGUCGAACUCAAUUUUCUGCGGAAUGUCGAUCCUGGCCUUCUGUUUUGAGGGUUUCGAAUUCCUUGAUAAAUGUCGACGUCUAUCCCCCUUCUGGGAAUGUCGAACUCAAUUUUCUGCGGAAUGUCGAUCCUGACCUUCUGUUUUGAAGGUUUCGAAUUCCUUGAUAAAUGUCG